AAUGCUGUUAAUGUGAAGUCAACUUCUUUAUUAAAAGAGAGAGACUUUGAGGUUGAGGCUGAACACAAACUGGAGGCUAAAGACACUGCUCUUGGAGAAGGUCCUGUUCAAGGUGAUGAUCUGGCUGAUGAUACAAAAAAUGGUGCUGUUACACGAUUGUGUUCAAAUAUUAUCGAAGAAUCUGAAUUCUAUGUGAAGCAAGAAGGUGUAGUGGAGCAUCUUAAUAUGCUUGCUUCUGAGAUGGAUCUUGAUUCCGAGAAUGCAGCAACUGCCGAUGAAAUAUCAAAUGAAG
rnacentral:misc_RNA from 1 species